rnacentral:misc_RNA from 1 species
CCUUCUAAAAGACCAAAAGGCAAAUCUGAACACCAUUAAAAAACCCUUGACAGUUUGUAUCCUUAGGUAAUUACAGUGGAAAAUGAUGUUUUUUAAAGAUUAUAUGACUAUGCUUCAAUGACACUUUCACGUAACAACAAAUAUUGUGCUCUUAGAUGAAGGGUUUCUUCUAUUCUUUCUUGCUCAAGUGAUUCUUCUGUUAAUUGAGGUAAUUACAGGCCUUGGAAUUCUGUUUCAUAAUCAAGUUUGGAUGGAAUAUGGAUCACAUUCCCAGUGUUCAUACAAUACUAAGUCUAGAAUUACCUGGGUUGAUGUUCACAUCUGAAUUCUUAAAACACUCAAAUCUAGUUUCUUAAUUGUUUGGCCUUUAAGUGUACAUAUACAUUAUACAGAACAACUCUU